GUGUUUACUUUAACAGCACAUAUAUAAAGUUUAAUGAUACAGAGAUCAGCAUGGCCCCUGUGCAAGAAUGACACUCCUUUUAUAUGCUCUGCUUGUUGCU
ensembl:snRNA U6 U6 spliceosomal RNA